UGCGUAACACGUAUGCAACCUACCUAUCAUUGGGGGAUAGCCUUUGGAAACGGAGAUUAAUACCGCAUAAGACAGUAACAUGGCAUCAUGUAGCUGUUAAAGCUUUGGCGAUGAUAGAUGGGCAUGCGUCCAAUUAGUUAGUUGGUGAGGUAACGGCUCACCAAGACGAUGAUUGGUAGGGGAUCUGAGAGGAUAAUCCCCCACACUGGCACUGAGAUACGGGCCAGACUCCUACGGGAGGCAGCAGUAGGGAAUAUUGGGCAAUGGACGGAAGUCUGACCCAGCCAUGCCGCGUGCAGGAAGAAGGCGUUAUGCGUUGUAAACUGCUUUUUUAUAGGAAGAAGGAGACCUUGCGAGGUUUGGUGACGGUACUAUAAGAAUAAGCACCGGCUAACUCCGUGCCAGCAGCCGCGGUAAUACGGAGGGUGCGAGCGUUGUCCGGAUUUAUUGGGUUUAAAGGGUGCGUAGGCGGUUUAUUAAGUCAGUGGUGAAAGACGGUCGCUCAACGAUUGCAGUGCCAUUGAUACUGGUAGACUUGAGUUCGUAUGAGGUAGCUGGAAUGGAUAGUGUAGCGGUGAAAUGCAUAGAUAUUAUCCAGAACUCCAAUUGCGUAGGCAGGUUACUAAUACGAUACUGACGCUGAUGCACGAAAGUGUGGGGAUCAAACAGGAUUAGAUACCCUGGUAGUCCACACUGUAAACGAUGAUGACUAACUGUUUGCCCUUUGGGGUGAGUGGUACAGAGAAAUCGUUAAGUCAUCCACCUGGGGAG
rnacentral:rRNA from 1 species